AAAAUAAUCCUACCCUUUGUGAAUUUUGUUUGUUUGAAUAAUUUUUUUUUUUAAAAAAUUAUUGGAGUCUUUCCCUUUAGAGUUUGCUUUUGAGUUUGUAAAAGAAUUCGAAAACAUCUAAAGGGGAUGGUCAAUAAUUUUUUUUGAAAAAAGACAUUUUUUAAAAUUAAACUUUUUGUAUUCAUUUGUCUAAAAAUUAUUUUUAUAAUAUAAAAACAACUUUUGACAAUGGAUCUCUUGGUUCUCGCAACGAUGAAGAACGCAGCAAAAUGCGAUAAGUAGUGUGAAUUGCAGAAUACGUGAAUCAUCGAAUCUUUGAACGCAUAUUGCACUUUUUUAGUUUACUAAAAAAGUAUGUCUGUUUGAGUAUCAGUAAAAUAUUCUCAUAAAAAUCAUUGUGUAUUUUUAUGGUUAUGAGUGUUUUACAACGAUACAAGUUGUUUCACUUUAAAUUUUUUUUUAAUAUUGAAAUUUUUCUAAUUUUAAUAAUUAAAAUUGGAUAAAAUUUUCCCGUCAAAAGGAAUAACCUAAGCAAUUUUAAAUGAUUGAUUUUAGCAAAAUUUUCGAAAAAAAGGAAAAUUUUUAUUAAAAUAACUUGAUCUCAAAUCAGAUAAGAGUACCCGCUGAACUUAAGCAUAUCAAUAAGCGGAGGAAAAGAAACUAACAAGGAUUCCCUUAGUAACGGCGAGUGAAGCGGGAAGAGCUCAAAUUUGAAAUCUUCAAGGUUUUACCUUGACGAAUUGUAGUUUAAAGAAGUGUUUUCUGCUGAAGUUUUGGUAAAAGUUCUUUGGAAUAGGACAUCAUAGAGGGUGAGAAUCCCGUAUUUGACCAUUAUUUUCAGCUUUGUGAUACACUUUCAAAGAGUCGGAUUGUUUGGGAAUGCAGUCCAAAAUGGGCGGUAAAUUUCAUCUAAAGCUAAAUAUUGGCGAGAGACCGAUAGCGAACAAGUACCGUGAGGGAAAGAUGAAAAGAACUUUGAAAAGAGAGUUAAACAGUACGUAAAUUGUCAAAAGGGAAGCGUUUGACACCAGUGUUGUUUUCUCGAAAAUCAAUUAAAAAUGGCUCGAUUUUGUAUUGCUGAGACCUUAAAAGCUCACUGUACAUUUUUCGUGUCUUUUUUAAUGCACUUUUCGUUUAACAAGUCAACAUCAGUUUCUUUUGUUGUAAAAGGGUCAUUGGAAGGUGGCUUUCUUUUCGGAGAAAGUGUUUAUAGCCUUUGGCCUCUGCAAUCGAAGAGACUGAGGUCUGCAGCGUAGACUCUUCGGGGUUAGAUACAUUUGUGCUAAGUUAUAGCUUUUUAUAGACAACUUGUUGACUAUAAUUAGUCUUGUAGCUUACUCGCUUAUGCUAUUU
rnacentral:misc_RNA from 1 species